rnacentral:snRNA from 1 species
GUCCUCCUUCGGCAGCACCUAGACUAAAACUGGAACAAUACAGAGAAGAUUAGCAUGGCCCCUGCGCAAAAAUGACAUGCAAAUUCAUGAAGCGUUCCAUAUUUUU